rnacentral:misc_RNA from 1 species
CAUUAACUCACACUAACCAACGCCAGGGUAUUACGAGCCCCAGCUUAAAACCCAAAGGACUUGACGGUGUCCUAUCCAACUAGAGGAGCCUGUUCUAUAAUCGAUAACCCCCGAUAUACCCAACCCCUUUUUGCCAAUCAGCCUGUAUACCUCCGUCGAAAGCUUACCAUAUGAGUGUUCUUAGUAAGUUCAAGGGUUUACAUACCAACACGUCAGGUCAAGGUGCAGCUCAUAAUGGGGAAAGCAAUGGGCUACAAUUUCUAACAUAGAACAUACGAAAUGCUUUAUGAAAUACAGCCACGAAGGCGGAUUUAGCAGUAAAAAGAAAAUAAUGUGUUCUUUUUAACAAGGCCCUAGGACGUGUACACACCGCCCGUCACCCUCUUCAAUAGUUCACGAAACGUUCUUAACACUAACCUACGCCUUAGAAGAGGCAAGUCGUAACAUGGUAAGUGUACCGGAAGGUGCACUUGGAUCUCAAAACAUAGCUUAAACAAAGCCCCUUGCUUACACCAAGAAAAUAUCUGUUAAACCCAGAUUGUUUUGAGCCUAAAAUUAAGCCUAACCAAAGCCCCAUGAAACCUACAACUAACCCUUACCAAAUAAAACAUUUUAUCAGUCUAGUAGAGGCGAUCAAAAAACUCAUCAGCGCUUUAUUACAAGUACCGCAAGGGAAAAAAUGAAAUAGUUCUGAAACAGCCCCAAAGCAAAACACAGCAGAGAUAAACACUCGUACCUUUUGCAUCAUGGUUUAGCUAGUCCUCUACAAGCAAAACGAAACAUCAGUUUGUCCCCCCGAAACUAGGCGAGCUACUUCGAAACAGCUUACAGAGCUAACCCGUCUCUGUCGCAAAAGAGUGGGAUGAUUUCCAAGUAGCGGUGAAAAGCCUACCGAGCCUAGAGAUAGCUGGUUAUUCAGAAAAAGAAUUUUAGUUCAGCCCCAAGUCUCUUUAUUACCAUAACAAAUUUUCUAGACUUAAGAGCUAGUCAAAUAAGGCACAGCUUAUUUGACAAAGGAUACAACCUACAAAAAAGGGUAAAACCACCAUAUACUAACUAAGUGGGCCUGAAAGCAGCCACCUUCAAGACAGCGUUACAGCUCCGUUAUCCUUUACAACAAAUACCUAAAAACACUCCGAACCCUUUAUCAUUACUGAAUGAUCCUAUAUCUUUAUAGGAGCCCCAAUGCUAAAACUAGUAACAAGAAAUAGAACUUCUCCAAAUACAAGUAUAAGCCAAAAUGGACCAACCAUUGGCAAUUAACGUUACUGAACCCAAUAUAGCAACCCACCAAGAAAAUACUAUAACUCUUACCGUUAAUCUAACACAAGGGUAUUUCUGGAAAGAUUUAAAGAAAGGGAAGGAACUCGGCAAACUUUAACCCCGCCUGUUUACCAAAAACAUCGCCUCUUGAUCAACUAUAAGAGGUCUAGCCUGCCCAGUGACAUAGUUUAACGGCCGCGGUACCCUGACCGUGCGAAGGUAGCAUAAUCACUUGUUCUUUAAAUGAGGACUAGUAUCAACGGCAUCACGAGGGUUACACUGUCUCCCCUCUCUAAUCAGUGAAACUGACUUCCCCGUGAAGAGGCGGGGAUACAACUACAAGACGAGAAGACCCCAUGGAGCUUUAAACCCAAUAACAGCUUCUAUCAACCACACCUUAAAAAUUAAGAAACAUUGUUUAUUGGUUUUAGGUUGGGGUGACCAUGGAGUAAAAUUAAACCUCCAAGAUGAAAGGUCUCAUCCUAAUCUAAGAGCCACUGCUCUAAGAAUCAAAAAUUUGACAUAAAAUGAUCCGGCAACCGAUCAACGAACCAAGUUACCCUGGGGAUAACAGCGCAAUCCAUUUCAAGAGCCCCUAUCGACAAAUGGGUUUACGACCUCGAUGUUGGAUCAGGGU